GAGCUUCCUUCAGCAGCACACAUACUAAAAUUGGAACUUUACGGAGAAGAUUAGCAUGGCCCCUGUGCAAGGAUGACACGCAAAUUCAUGAAGCGCUCCAUAUUUUU
ensembl:snRNA U6 U6 spliceosomal RNA